GCAGUCGUAGCCUAAUGGUUAGAGCAUUGGACUUGCAACCCAAAGGUGAACCUGAUGAACCUGAAGGUUGUGGGUUCGAGUCUCAGGCCGGUAGGG